rnacentral:rRNA from 1 species
AGGACGAACGCUGGCGGCGUGCUUAACACAUGCAAGUCGAGCGGUAAGGCCUUUCGGGGUACACGAGCGGCGAACGGGUGAGUAACACGUGGGUGAUCUGCCCUGCACUUCGGGAUAAGCCUGGGAAACUGGGUCUAAUACCGGAUAUGACCUCAGGUUGCAUGACUUGGGGUGGAAAGAUUUAUCGGUGCAGGAUGGGGCCCGCGGCCUAUCAGCUUGUUGGUGGGGUAAUGGCCUACCAAGGCGACGACGGGUAGCCGACCUGAGAGGGUGACCGGCCACACUGGGACUGAGACACGGCCCAGACUCCUACGGGAGGCGGCAGUGGGGGAAUAUUGCACAAUGGGCGAAAGCCUGAUGCAGCGACGCCGCGUGAGGAUGACGGCUUCGGGUUGUAAACCUCUUUCAGCAGGACGAAGCGCAAGUGACGGUACCUGCAGAAGAAGCACGCUAACACGUGCCAGCAGCCGC